rnacentral:rRNA from 1 species
UACGUAGGGACCAAGCGUUGUUCGGAUUUACUGGGCGUAAAGGGCGCGUAGGCGGCGCGGUAAGUCACUUGUGAAAUCUCUGAGCUUAACUCAGAACGGCCAAGUGAUACUGCAGUGCUAGAGUGUGGAAGGGGAGCGGGGAAUUCCUGGUGUAGCGGUGAAAUGCGCAGAUAUCAGGAGGAACACCAGCGGCGAAGGCGCCGCUCUGGGCCGUAACUGACGCUGAGGAGCGAAAGCAUGGGUAGCAAACAGG